GACAGAGGCCUCAAGCGUUAGGCGGAAUCACUGGGCUUAAAGCGUGUGUAGGUGGAUGUCUAAGUGCCUUGUGAAAUCCCACGGCUCAACCGUGGAAUGGCUGGGCAUACUGGGAUGGUCUUGAGCCACUUAGGGGCGACUGGAACAAACGGUGGAGCGGUGAAAUGCGUAGGAUAAUCGAGGAGGAACACCGGUGGCGAAGGCGGGUCUCUGGGCCGAAACUGACGCUGGAG
rnacentral:rRNA from 1 species